rnacentral:rRNA from 1 species
UACGGAGUGUGCAAGCGUUACUCGGAAUCACUGGGCAUAAAGCGCGCGUAGGCGGGUAUUCAAGUCGGUUGUGAAAUCCCCCAGCUCAACUGGGGAACUGCAUCCGAUACUGUCUGUCUUGAGGAUGAGAGGGGAGAGUGGAACUUCUGGUGGAGCGGUGAAAUGCGUAGAUAUCAGAAGGAACGCCGGUGGCGAAAGCGACUCUCUGGCUCGUAUCUGACGCUGAGGCGCGAAAGCUUGGGUAGCAAACGGG